rnacentral:lncRNA from 1 species
GGUUAUGUUCGAUUGCUAAAUUAAUCUUUUGAACUGGUUAACAAAUGUUAUCUGAAUGAUUUGUUCAUAAAUCUGACUCAAGAACCAUUUCAUAAACAUAAGGUUCAAGACUUUUAGUUCUAUUCAAUGUAUAGGCUAAAUAUUUUUAUAUUCUUUGUAAGAACCAAUAGCAAAACUCACUGGCUGUAACUCUUGCUGUAAUCCUAACCAUUUGUAUUUAAUUAACAGAAUAAUAAAAUAACAAUGCAACAAAUUCUGACAUUUUAUUCUGAUGUACUAACACUUUCAGUGGACAAACUGGUCCAAUCCUUAGCUUGUCAUUUAUUAUACAAAAGUAGAAACACUCAAUUUCUAAUGUUUCUUAUGUUUAUUUCCCCUAGUCUGUCCAGAAACAAAACCUUAAAAUAUUCAAGUCAUUCUCCCCAUCAUGGAAGGCUCAUUUGUUGUGCCCAUGAUCGUGUUUUUCGCAAUGGCUGUUUCUAUGUUCAUCAUCUUCUACUGCCUGGCCAAAAGACAUGCACAGUAUGUGCAGUCAAAUACUACAGUCACGACUACACAUCACCCACAAUACUCAUAUCAACAGCCUUUGGCUAAUCACCAACAGCCAGCGUAUGGGGCACAUCCCAUUCUGACUGGACCAUAUCAGCAAACUUAUGUCCCGGGACCACCACCCACAUAUCAGGAGGCGGGUAAGAUCGGCAAACAUCUACCUGAAAGCUUACACCAACAAUAAACAUACAGCCACAUUUGUUUUGUUUUUAGUUUUAUUUUAUUUUAUUUUUGUGUUAAACGAUAGGUAAAAUAAUGUGGAGGCUAUUCAUUUAUUUGCUUUUAUAUCUGCCUAUUUUAAUGGAUUUGGGAAGCAUAAAGUCUAACGCAUUUUACAAGACCAAAUGUUGAACUUUACUGUUUUAAGUGUGUAACAAAAAGUUCAACAAAUUUGUUAUACUUGUAAUUCUUGUUGGUGCUCCGGCUCCAACAAGC